rnacentral:rRNA from 1 species
CCUACGGGAGGCAGCAGUGAGGAAUAUUGGUCAAUGGACGAGAGUCUGAACCAGCCAAGUAGCGUGAAGGAUGACUGCCCUAUGGGUUGUCAACUUCUUUUAUAUGGGAAUAAAACAGGGUAUGCAUACCCUCUUGUAUGUAACAUAUGAAUAAGGAUCGGCUAACUCCGUGCCAGCAGCCGCGGUAAUACGGAGGAUCCGAGCGUUAUCCGGAUUUAUUGGGUUUAAAGGGAGCGUAGGUGGAUUGUUAAGUCAGUUGUGAAAGUUUGCGGCUCAACCGUAAAAUUGCAGUUGAAACUGGCAGUCUUGAGUACAGUAGAGGUGGGCGGAAUUCGUGGUGUAGCGGUGAAAUGCUUAGAUAUCACGAAGAACUCCGAUUGCGAAGGCAGCUCACUGGACUGCAACUGACACUGAUGCUCGAAAGCGUGGGUAGCAAACAGGAUUAGAUACCCGAGUAGUC